ACAAGAAAGGGAAAGAGAGGAAUUACUUAGUAAACACAACAGUGCCUGCUAGCUGACUCAGACUUGUAUUUUGAAAUCUCCUGAAUAAUUAGCCUUAUAGGGAUGCAUGGGAUUUUCAACAAGCUCUUUGGUAACAUGCAUGACAUUGUUGGGGCAAUUGGAGAGUUCCCAAGUUCUGAAUCAAUAGCUUGGGCUGAAUAAGAAAAAUAUAGGCUGUUCAGGAAGAAGAUAGAGAUGAACACUGAGGCCAGUAGUACUUUGAAUAUAUUAAAAAUUAUUACACAUAAUAGUUAUAUAAAAGUAAAAAAAGAAUGAGGGUUUUCAUAACAGAAAUAGCCACACAAAUAAUAGCAACACAAUCUUUAUUUAAGGCUUUCUUAGAUAAUGCACAAAAAGUACAAACCUUAAAGGUAGAAAUGAAUACUUCUGGGGAAAAAUAAUGAUAAUUGUUGAGCUAAGUGAUGAGCGCAUGGAAGGUCUAUUACACUAUUCUCUCUUCUUUUGAAUGUACUUAAAAUUAUUCACAAUAAAAAUAGUUGAAAAUAUAUCUGAAUACAGAAUAUCCCAUAAACAAGGUAAAAAGAUAAUUUACUGGUAAACUUCUUCAGUAACAUGUAUAACUGACAAAGAUUAGUAGUUACACUAUGUAAAGAACUCCUACUAAUCAACAGGUAAGUCCAAAAGAAAAAGAGACAAAAGACAUGAGUUGGAAAUGUUGCAGAAUAGUUAAUAACCUUAUGAAAAGAUACUUAGCUUCACUGAAUAACCAGAGAAAUACAUUUAAAAAGCACCACUUAGGUCUCAUUUACUACUUAUCUGUAUUAAUUUUCUGAGGCUGUUGUAACAAAUUACCAUAAACUAAGUGGCUUAAAACAACAGAAAGUAUUGUCUUCCAGUUCUGGAGGCCAAAAGAACAAAAUCAGUAUCACUGGGGCAAAAUCAAGGUGUCAGCUGGGCUAUACUCCCUGUGAAAGCUCUAGGGGAGAAGCUGUUCCUUGCCUCCCCUAGCUUCUGGUGGCUGCCAGCAUUGCUUGAUUAUAGGUGCAUCACAUCAAUCUUUAACCAGGGCCAGCAUCUGCAAAUCUCUCUCUGCUCCACCAUCACACGGCCUUCUCUACAUGUGCUUAAUCUCCCUCUACCCCAUUCUUAUAAGGAUACACGUGAUUGCAUUUCAUGUCCACUCCCCUAUCCCUCAAAAAUUCAGGAUAAUCCUUAUAUCUCAAGAUCCCUACCUUAAUCACAUCUGCAAAGAUUCUGUUUUCCAAAUAAGGUAACAUUUACGCAUUCCAGGGAUUAUGAUAUCUUUAGGAGAUACUAUUUAACCUACUAGACUAUCUUGGGAUACGCACCCUAAGGUCUCCUACACUUGGGUGUAGAUAGAACCUGUGACUUGCUUCUGAUCAAUAUGAUUUGGCAAAGGUGAUAGGAUGUCGCUCCCAUGAUUGUGUCACAAUGGAUGAAACUCAGAAAACUGAAGUGAGAGAUUCUCCCAUCGGCCUUAAAGAUAUAAGCAGUCAAGUUGUGAGAUGGCUGUAAGAGGAUCACAUGGCAGGGAACUAUGGGACUUCAGUGGGGCUACAGCCAUAAGAACACAGUAAGAUGCUAGGGUCCUUAGUCAUGCAGCUGCAAAGAAAUGAACUCUGCCAACAACUUGAAUGAGCUUGGAAGCAAAUCAUUCCCCAAACUCGAGCCUUUAGAUAAAAACGCAACCCAGUUAAUACUGUGAAUUUGGCACAGUAAGAUCAAGAGCAGAUGAUUCAGUUAAGUUGUGCCCAGAUUCCUGACCCCUAGAAAUUGUGAGAUAGCAAAUGUUUGUUGUUUUAAGCCACUAAAUGUGUGGUAAUUUGUUACACUACCAUACAGAGUUUGGUACCUGGGAAGGGGAUGCUGCUGUAACAAAUAUCUAAAAUGUGGAAGUGGCUUGGGAACUGGGUAGUGGAAGGAGACUGGGCAGCAUCAUAGAGAAGGCCUAAAAUGCCUUGAACCAGUUCUUAACUGACCCCUGGACCUUAAGGACACCACUGAUGAGGGCUCAGAGGGAAAUGAGGAAUAUGUUACUGGAAAUUGGAGCAAUGGAGACCCUUGUGAUGGUGGCAGAAAACUUAGGGAAAUUGUAUCCUAUAGUUACUUGAGAAGAUCAACCUGUAAGCAAUAGCCUUAGCUAUACGGUUAACAUUAUUUGCAAGCAAUGGUUUGAAAGUGCCACCUAGUUUCUUCUUACCACUUACAGUAAAAUGCAAGAGGAGAAAGAAAGACAUUGGGAGAACUUAUACAAAAAUGAAAGGGGACAUGAUUUUAAAAAUUUUCAGACUCUCCAAAUAGAAAAGACACUAAAAUUAAGAAAUUCACUGUCAAGAAAGCAAGCUCUAUAGAAAAAGUUGAGGGUGUGACUAUAUAGACUUUUGCUAAAACCUCAGAAAGAUCAAAAGCUGGUUUUAUGCAGUCAGGCAAAGGUCCCUUUCAAGUGAUGAAGGGUGUGCCUCACAGAUCCUGUCGAUCAAAUCAGAGGGCCUCUAGGAACUGAAAAGCAUCAUCCCUCAGCCAUUGUAGCAUGAGAUGGAAAAGGGAUUAUUUUUAAACGAUCUGUGGAUAUGCCUUUCUUAUAAUGAAGUGAAUCUCUAUAAAAUCCACAGAAGACUCACAGAGUUUUAUUUCAGCAAAAACACUGCCAACGUGGAAUCAAAGGGACAGAGAGGAUACAAAAUGAAAGGAUGAUGUUGGCACCCCCAAAUUCUAUUGGCAGGAAGCAGGUUGAUAAAACUACUCAGCUGCAAACAUGAGUAGUUUCAUUAAAAAUAAAUCAUGACUUAGAGGGCAGAACCAAGAAUCUAGAGGGCUAUUACAUAAAAAUCAUAGGAGACCAUUGUUUUGGACUAAGCACAACAAACCAGAUUAAAAAUCGAAAUGGAGUCACCCAUGCUAAAAUUCCACAUCACCAAAUCAAAACUAAGUUGUUAUCUGACUUUCUAAAAUCAGGAAAGAGAGAAAAUAUCCAACUUCCCAAACAGGAGCUUCAGUUGGAAUGAAUAGCGAAGUUUCCUGUUUUAAUCCUUAACCUGAAAUAACCUAAUGUUAACCAAACAGUUAUUUUUCUAUUGUUGUGUCUCCCAGCUCCCACCAUACAAGGAAAGUAACUUUAAAAUGACCGAUCCACUUUUUGUUCUUUGCUUCUGCUUUCUUAAGGCCUUUUUCUGUCUAUAAAACCAACCUUGUUUGACUCAUUGGGACACUUAUUCUACUUAAUGGAAUGAAGUAUUGCAUGAUUCUAGAACUGCAAAUAAAGCCAAUUCAGAUCUUUAAACUAAAUUUGUUGUAAUUUUGUCUUCUGACAGAUAUGGUGACCAGUGAAGGGACCUGAAUGAAGGUUACUGAUGUCUCUGAGACUCCUUGAGGAACACAGAAAAGAUGCUGCUAACCUCCCCUUUAAGUGGUGGGGGGUGGGUCCCCUGUCUUCCUCCUGGAGCCCUGAGAAUCCUGUUUUCCUCCAAAAUCUGGCUACAACUAAGAACAAAAACUGCUAAACUGGACAACUCAACAUAAAUUUCAAAGGACAAGUCUCAUGCCUGAUGUGUGAACUACAUGCGGAGUUGAAUAUAAUGCCUGCUAGCACAACCAGAGACAUUCAACUGCAAAUCAGGACGAGAAGUUGCCAACUUCAUGCUGUGGAGUUUUUCCCAAGAUGCAUGGAAUGAGACUCCCUAUCGUAGUAAGCUUCCUGAGGCUUCCCUAGAAGCUGACCUGAUGCCAGCACCAUAUUUCCUAUAGAACUUGCAGAAUGAUGAGCCAAUUAGACCUCUUUUCUUCAUAAAUUACCGAGUCUCGGAUAUUUCUUUAUAGCAAUGCAAGAACAGCCUA
rnacentral:lncRNA from 1 species